rnacentral:lncRNA from 1 species
AGAAAGAAAGAAAGAAAGAAAGAAAGAAAGCCAGACACUUGGGAGGCAGAGGCAGAAGGAUCAGAACUCACUCUCAGCUACAUUGCCAGUUUGAGGAUAGCUUGGACUAGACUACAAGUGAUAUUGUUCUCCUCUCUCUCUCUCUCUCUCUCUCUCUCUCUCUCUCUCUCUUUCUCUCUCUCCCUCUCUGUCUCUCUCUCUCUCUCUGUGUGUGUGUGUGUGUGUGUGUGUGUGUGUGAGAGAGAGAGAGAGAGAGAGAGAGAGAGAGAGAGAGAGAGAGAGAGAGUAUAAAUAAUAUCUUCAUCCACGGUUUGACUGUGUAUCCCAGGCUGCCUUAGAACUCACUGUGUAGCCCAGACUGGUCUCACACUCAUGAUCCUCCCUCAGACUCCCAAGAACUAGGAUGACCAUCAAGUAUUUCCAUGCCCAACUAUGAUCACUUAAAGCAAAUUGAAACCACUGGGUGCAUUUCCACCUCUCAAAUUGGUGAAAAUAAAAGCUUGUCAACAAUCAAUAAGAAUAUCAAAGUCUUUUGUAAAGCACUUGGCACCAUUUAAAAUGUGCGUGCCUUUUGACCUCAAAAUUGCACAAUAAGAAUCUGCCCUAAAGAAAUACUGACCCCUGUGUGCAGAUGUAGGUGACAGAGAUGGGGGGGAGGGGAGAAGAGAUAGGAAAGAAAGGAGAGAAGAAAGAGUGAGAGGAGACAGGAGAGAAAAGAGAGAAGAGCUGGGGGAGUGAGAAUUUGGAAGUUACACUGGGUCACUGCAGUUCUGCAACAGUGGAAAGUGGCAGAUGGGCCCAGCACUGUACAGCAUCCUAAAAAAUGCUGCAGGAAUGCGGAAGUAAAGUCACUGGGCUGGGCAGAAGGCCUGAGGAUUAUCACUCUAUUGCCUGUUGGUCAGUCCUGCAGUUGCUUGCCAGGCUGGAAUUCUGCGAAGUAUGCCUGAACCCCAGAGGAGGCUUCUCUCCAAGUGUGACUCCAAGAAAAGUACCACCUCUACAAAGAAAACCGCUUAAACUGCCUCCCCACAAUGAGACUGCAACAUAACCACUGUGCUCUUUCAAGUCGAUCGUAUAGAGGGGGUAGAUGCUCACACACGAACACAGCUUAUUUCAUGACACGUUUUAUUCAGUUGCUUGUUUGUUUGCUUAUUUGUUUGUUUUUGAAACAGAGACUCUCUAAAUAGCCCUCGCUAUCCUAGAACUCACUUUGUAAACCAGGCUGGCCUCGAACUCACAGAGAUCACCCUACCUCUGCCUCCUGAGUGCUGGGGUUAAAGGAGUGCACCACCAUACCCAGCUGCUUGCUUGCUUGCUUUUUUAAUAAGGGUGUCUUAUGUAGCCCUGGCUAGGUGGUACUCACUGUUUUGUUUCUUUUUUCAUUUUUUUUUAAAUGAAGGGUACAUGAGAACAAGAGAUGAGCAAUGCCAACUACUAAGUUUUUUUUUCCCCCAAGAGAUUUAUUUUAUUAGUUCAAAUUAGAAACAAGGCUGCUUCACAUGUCAAUCCCUUCUCCCUCUCCCUCUCCCUCCCCUCCCCCCAACCCUCCACCAACCCGCCCACCUCAUCCCCCCUCUGCUCCCCAGGGAGGGUAGGGCCCUCCAUGGGGGUUCCCCAAAGUCAGUCAUAUCAUUCUGGGCAGGGCCUAGGCCUUCCCCCACGUGUCCAGGCUGAGAGAGCAUCCCUUCA